rnacentral:rRNA from 1 species
UACGUAGGGUGCUAGCGUUGUUCGGAAUCAUUGGGCGUAAAGCGCGUGUAGGCGGUUAGUUAAGUCGGGCGUGAAAUCCCUGGGCUCAACCGAGGAAGUGCAUCCGAAACUAACUAGCUAGAGAAUGGUAGAGGAAGGUGGAGUUCCGUGUGUAGAGGUGAAAUUCGUAGAUAUACGGAGGAAUACCGGUGGCGAAGGCGGCCUUCUGGACCAUUUCUGACGCUGAGACGCGAAAGCGUGGGGAGCAAACAGG